rnacentral:rRNA from 1 species
CCCUUAGAUGUUCUGGGCUGCACGCGCGCUACACUGAUGCGCUCAACGAGUUUUAACCUUGCCUGGAAAGGUUGGGUAAUCUUUUUAAAACGCAUCGUGAUGGGGAUAGAUUAUUGCAAUUAUUAAUCUUCAACGAGGAAUUCCUAGUAAGCGCGAGUCAUCAGCUCGUGCUGAUUACGUCCCUGCCCUUUGUACACACCGCCCGUCGCUCCUACCGAUUGAAGUUUUCGGUGAGUUGACAGGAGGAUUUUUUUGAAACUGGUUCGCCAGUGGAUUUUAGAUCCAAAUGCCAACGAAUCGAUGGCUUUAGAGGAAGGAGAAGUCGUAACA